rnacentral:rRNA from 1 species
UGGUAGGUGGGUAGAGUAUACCAAGGGGAGCGAGAGAACCUUCGUUAAGGAAUUAGGCAAAUUUCCCCCGUACGUUCGCAAUAAGGGGGGCCUUUGGCGGUGAGCUUAAUCGCAAAGCUGCUGGAGGCCGCAGAGAAAUGGCUCUUCCAACUGUUUAACAAAAACACAGGUCUCUGCUAAGUCGAAAGACUAAGUAUAGGGGCUGACGCCUGCCCAGUGCUGGAAGGUUAAGGGGAGAGGUUAGGCGCAAGCCGAAGCUUUGAGCCGAAGCCCCAGUGAACGGCGGCCGUAACAAUAACGGCCCUAAGGUAGCGAAAUUCCUUGUCGGGUAAGGUCCGACCCGCACGAAUGGCGUAAUGAGAGGAGCACUGUCUCAACGAGGGACUCGGCGAACAUUGAAGGACGUGUGAAGAUACACGUGACCCGCAGCGGGACAAAAAGACCCCGUGAAGCUUUACUACAACUUGCCAUUGAGUUAGGGCUAAACCUGUGUAGUAUAGGUGGGAGGCUUUGAAGCUGGGACGCCAGUCUCGGUGGAGCCACCGUUGAAAUACCACCCUGGUUUAUUCUUGGCUCUAACCUGUCGCCGUUAUCCGGCAUGGGAACAGUGGCUGGUGGGUAGUUUGACUGGGGCGGUCGCCUCCGAAAGCGUAACAGAGGCGCCCAAAGGUUCCCUCAGGCUGAAUGGAAACCAGCCGUUGAGUGUAAAGGCACAAGGGAGCUUGACUGCAAGACCAACAAGUCGCGCAGGGACGAAAGUCGGGCUUAGUGAUCCCACGGUUCAGAGUGGAAUGGCCGUGGCUUACCGGAUAAAAGCUACUCCGGGGAUAACAGGGUAGUCUGGUCCAAGAGUUCAUAUCGACGACCAGGUUCGCCACCUCGAUGUCGGCUCAUCACAUCCUGGGGCUGGAUAAGGUCCCAAGGGUUGGGCUGUUUGCCCAUUAAAGUGGUACGUGAGCUGGGUUCAGACCGUCGUGAGACAGGUCGGUCUCUAUCCGCUGUGGGCGUAAGGGAUUUGAGAGAAGCUGCCCCUAGUACGAGAGGACCGGGGUGGACGGACCUCUAGUGUGCCAGUUGUUCUGCCAAGAGCAUUGCUGGGUAGCUACGUCCGGCAGAGAUAACCGCUGAAAGCAUCUAAGUGGGAAACUCGUCUCAAGAUUAGAUCCCUCAUCCGUAUGGAGUAAGACCGCUAGAAGACGACUAGUUUGAUAGGCGGCAGGUGUAAGCGCAGUAAUGUGUUCAGCUUAGCCGUACUAAUGGUCGAGGGCUUACGUUU